ACUUGGCAUACUGGAAGUAUAUGCCCAGAUCCCAAAGGUCAUGUUGGUUGGAAAUUCUAGAAUUAUAGCUGCAGCACAAUGGAACAACACUCAGAUGGGGAAGACUGACACUCCUUGGCAAAGGACGUAGGUUAGAACAGAAAGAGGAGGAGAGAGUUUAUCCUCAUCCAGUAUUCCAGGAGUGGACAACCUGUAACUUGUGGACUGGCUGCAUGUGAUUCCUUAACUUUCUGAAGUGGCACCAUCUUUGGGCGCCACAUCUGCUGAUCCAACUUGCCAACCAGGACCUACCUUGUGGUGAAGCCUGGCCCUCCGGGGUAUGAACUGCGACUGUACAUCCCAGGUUGCACGUAACCUUUGC